rnacentral:rRNA from 1 species
UGGGGAAUCUUGCACAAUGGGGGAAACCCUGAUGCAGCGACGCCGCGUGAGCGAUGAAGCCCUUCGGGGUGUAAAGCUCUUUCGGCAGGGAAGAUUAUGACGGUACCUGCAGAAGCAGCUGCGGCUAACUACGUGCCAGCAGCCGCGGUAAUACGUAGGCAGCAAGCGUUGUUCGGAGUUACUGGGCGUAAAGGGUGUGUAGGCGGCCUGUUAAGUUCCGUGUGAAAUCUCCCGGCUCAACCGGGAGGGUGCGCGGAAAACUGGCGGGCUAGAGUGCGGGAUGGGAGAGUAGAAUUCCUGGUGUAGCGGUGAAAUGCGUAGAUAUCAGGAGGAAUACCGGUGGUGUAGACGGCUCUCUGGACCGCAACUGACGCUGAAACACGAAAGCGUGGGUAGCAAACA